UGAGUAUCAAAGUACUUGUGCAUGCAUACAAGUCUGUUAGACAAGGAUGUAAAACUAAUGGCUCUUCCAUAUCUGCUGUCCAUACAGCUAUCCAUAAAAAUGUACAGAAAGAUGUCAAGUUGCAAUGUUUGCAUGCUUACACUUCUGAUGAGAGCAGACAAUGGUGCAAAACUGACCCUCUUUUUUUAGCCAUUUGUAUGUAGCAUUUCUUAACCUCUCUUCAGGGCUUUGUAGGACUGGAGGAGGAGCCAGGACUUGCACUGCAUGACAGCUGUUCCACUUUUUUCCCAGUGGCAGCAACUUAUGAAGAAGGCACAUAGUCAGGCAAUGCUCUACCUGCCCUCCAGAUUAUAUCCUUGAAAUAGGAAAAAAUUAAACCAUUUCUUUUCCCAGCAGUCAGUCACUCCUGGACCUGCCCAGCUACAGCCUGCUAUUUUUAGAGCUGGAUCUCCUGACCUAGCAGACACCAGGACAGAGCAGCAACUUCUGAGCUGAGGCCAGAUGCAGCCACGAAACCUGAGUUGGAUGGUGAACCUUUCAUCUAAUCCGGCUCACCAGGGAGGACAUGGAGCACAGAAGGACAAGGCACUUUCAGUUUACUUCAGGCACCUUGCUAUUGACAUCUACAUAUUUGGGUGAAGAAUGGUGACCUAGACAACAAAGAAGUGACUCUUAGAGGGGACCUCUCUGUCAAACUGCAGAGAACAAUCAAUCAAUAACAUGGCACUGACCCUCAAAAUUUCAUCUCCAUACAAUGACGAAAAGGAAACGAAUACGAAACAUAUUUCUUCUACUUGUCAUUCUUCUGUAACUCACUUGGAAGCUGAAAUAGCUGGAGAGCACAAUGAACCCAUGAUCAAGAAGUGAACAAUUUGUGCAACACUCACAGGUGAAGGAAAGUUCCCUUUCCAGCCCAGAU